rnacentral:misc_RNA from 1 species
UUUCCGUAGGUGAACCUGCGGAAGGAUCAUUAUCGUAAAACCGAGGUGCGAGGGCUGUCGCUGACCUUUUCGGUCGUGCACGCCCGAGCGCUCUCACACAAUCCAUCGCACCCCUUGUGCAUCACCGCGUGGAUCCCUUUCUGGCUCGUCCGGAGGGGGGCUCGCGUUUUCACACAAACUUGAAGUAGUGUAGAAUGUCCUUUUUUUGCGAUAACACGCAUUCAAUAAAACUUUCAACAACGGAUCUCUUGGCUCUC